rnacentral:lncRNA from 1 species
UUAUUUCUUGGCCAUAAAUUAUGUAGCAAUUGGCCAUAAGGAAAAAAGCUUCUAGGGGUUUAACAUAAUGUCAGGAGGCUUGGGUUCUCUUAAAGUUGAGUUACGCCAUUGAAAUCUUGAUGCAAUUAUCGUAAUGAAUAAGGUGGCAAACCCAGGAAAUAUGGAAUAAGGUUCAAUGAAGGGAUUAAAGGAAUUUAAAGUGCCUAGAGUUAUUGUCUUGCAGUCCUAUAAUUGGGAGUUGAGUUCAGUUUACUAGCGAACUGGCAAGGUUGACUUAACUGAAAGAAAUAAAGAUGACUAAGUUAGGUUUCUGAAACUCAGAGUAAGACUGCAAGGGAGACAUAGGGAACUUAUAAUUUAUCGACAUAAGGCUAUUAUAAUCCAUUGACACAGCCAUAGAGCACUCAUAAUUUAUAGACACACGGAACUAGGCAAGAUGGCAGGCCCUAGUAUAAGGGGAGGGUGGAUUAUUGCUAGGCUAUCCAAAAAGUAUUAGGUAGAUAAUUUUCCAAUCGGUAAUUUGGAUAAUGCUUCAUUUACUUCAUUGAGUAUCAUGAAUAAACAAACCAGAAAAAAUAUUGUUUAAUGGAACGGAAGAAGACAAAAGCCUUAAAAUGGUAGGUUUAGGAGAGGUAUGUUGGUUACCUAUCAUGAUUCCCGUCUUCCUCGGAUCGUGACUUCCUGCAGCAUUAGAAAAUAAUUACCUCCACUGUUAGAACUCAACCUUCUU